UUAUUGGAGAGUUUGAUCCUGGCUCAGGACGAACGCUGGCGGCGUGCCUAAUACAUGCAAGUCGAGCGGACCUGAUGGAGUGCUUGCACUCCUGAUGGUUAGCGGCGGACGGGUGAGUAACACGUAGGCAACCUGCCCGUAAGACCGGGAUAACUACCGGAAACGGUAGCUAAUACCGGAUAAUCAAGUCUUCCGCAUGGGAGACUUGGGAAAGGCGGAGCAAUCUGUCACUUACGGAUGGGCCUGCGGCGCAUUAGCUAGUUGGUGGGGUAACGGCUCACCAAGGCGACGAUGCGUAGCCGACCUGAGAGGGUGAACGGCCA
rnacentral:rRNA from 1 species